rnacentral:lncRNA from 1 species
GGGCUCUCAGGGGCAGGGGGAAUUGCAGAGGUGAUUUUUAAAAUUUAUUUAUUUUUGAAAGUUCCAUUUAUUACACGAGAAAGAGAAAAAAAUCUUCCAUAUCUGCUGCAUUUUCCCCACCAACAGUUUGGUGGGGAAAUACUGUAUCAGUAUUUUUCUCUGAGCAUUUUGAAGGCCUAGUUUAGGAUGCUGCUCUAAUAAGAACUGGGCACCAGCUCAAUUAUGCAGCUGUCUCACUGGCUUUGCACUUCCAAGCUGUGCUUUAGACAGCUGAACUUCAUCAGGGGAGUCACACAAAGGGUUCUUACAGCAUGAAACGCAGCGAGGCAAUCAAAGGUAGCUACUGCUGAGUUCGAAGUGAUAACACAACCUCAGCUGGCCACUCUUGUGCAGGAGGCAUCUUUAAUAUACACCUCCCUCCACGUUUAUCCCCAGGGAAAGCCUGCUUGACCUCCACUUACCCGAAAUGAGAAGCAGAAGUUUGCGAGGAGCUGGGGCUAUCCUAGAGGCCAAUAUUCAGGCGAAGUCCUCAAAGUGCUGCUGUCCUGCUCCCCACAGACAGACUCAUUUGCUGGUGAGUUUUGGCAGUUCAGCGUGUGUUCCCGGUGCAAAUCCUUAGUGUGCGGACAGAUAACUGAAAACCAGCCCCAGCACGCAUGCCAAGAGACCCAGGAUACAGCUCUCAGAAGGAAAAUAAACAGAAAGCAAUACUGCAAAUACUUCCCAUCAGAAAACGACAACAAGCAACUUAUCAUAACUGCAAGAAAGCUAACAACAUUUCCACCCAGUGAUUUUUGGCACUGACAGCUGACUCAGAACAGUUGUUGGUGGCUGGGACAGAUGGACUUCAUGUAUAU